UAGAGUUUGAUCCUGGCUCAGAACGAACGCUGGCGGCAGGCUUAACACAUGCAAGUCGAGCGCCCCGCAAGGGGAGCGGCAGACGGGUGAGUAACGCGUGGGAACCUACCCAGUUCUACGGAACAACUGAGGGAAACUUCAGCUAAUACCGUAUACGCCCUACGGGGGAAAGAUUUAUCGGAAUUGGAUGGGCCCGCGUUGGAUUAGCUAGUUGGUAGGGUAAUGGCUUACCAAGGCGACGAUCCAUAGCUGGUCUGAGAGGAUGAUCAGCCACACUGGGACUGAGACACGGCCCAGACUCCUACGGGAGGCAGCAGUGGGGAAUCUUAGACAAUGGGCGCAAGCCUGAUCUAGCCAUGCCGCGUGAGUGACGAAGGCCUUAGGGUCGUAAAGCUCUUUCGCCAGAGAUGAUAAUGACA
rnacentral:rRNA from 1 species